rnacentral:rRNA from 1 species
CUGGAGGUAUCAGAAGUGCGAAUGCUGACAUAAGUAACGAUAAAGCGGGUGAAAAGCCCGCUCGCCGGAAGACCAAGGGUUCCUGUCCAACGUUAAUCGGGGCAGGGUGAGUCGACCCCUAAGGCGAGGCCGAAAGGCGUAGUCGAUGGGAAACGGGUUAAUAUUCCCGUACUUGGUGUUACUGCGAAGGGGGGACGGAGAAGGCUAUGUUGGCCGGGCGACGGUUGUCCCGGUUUAAGCGUGUAGGUGUGUGUUCCAGGUAAAUCCGGUUCACUUUAACACUGAGGCGUGAUGACGAGGCACUACGGUGCUGAAGUAACAAAUGCCCUGCUUCCAGGAAAAGCCUCUAAGCAUCAGGUAACAUCAAAUCGUACCCCAAACCGACACAGGUGGUCAGGUAGAGAAUACCAAGGCGCUUGAGAGAACUCGGGUGAAGGAACUAGGCAAAAUGGUGCCGUAACUUCGGGAGAAGGCACGCUGACACGUAGGUGAAGUGAUUUACUCAUGGAGCUGAAGUCAGUCGAAGAUACCAGCUGG